rnacentral:lncRNA from 1 species
UUCCCCACUUCCCUCACCCAUUCUUUCCCUGCUAGUUAUUCCUUUGUAUUAUCCUGAUUGAGUGGACAUUAAAAUAGUUAUCUGUUCUCCAAGCUGUGAACAAGUGUGAGUGAGCAGAUCAAGGGGAGACCCUUUGAUCUCGAGUAGUGGAGGGGGGACAAGAGCAAAUCUGGGAGAGCAGCCUUAGCUAAGGAGGGAAGGCAGAAGGGGAAAAUCUUCAACCCCCUCUCCUCUCUCUGAGCCAACCUUAAACAUCAGCUGUCUCCCCUGAACCCUGGUGUGAGAAGGGGGGUCUCCACUCUUCUCUCUAUACUGAAACUGAACCCCUCAGUUACAACUAAACAACCCCUUGAAUGAUACCACACGUGCUCAUUUCCAAAUGGAUUUACCCGUCAUCCCUGGAUUACUGAGUGCCCAGGGCUGGCCAGGGACCCCCAAGUCGGCCUGGAUCCCUCGGUGCUGAGGUGCUGACCUCCCAUUGGCUCCCACUUUGACUGGUUCUUCUUCCCUUCCCCAGCUCUUACCCAUUCCCUGGAAGCAGAUAAUAGUCUAAUGAAGGGGCAUCAUCAAACAACACAGGGGAGGCCACAUUAUUCACCUGUUUCCAACCAGGAGCAGAGAGAGAAACAUGUUUGCGAUAUUGUCUGGAUAAAUUAUUUAAGCGGUUCUUUGUGAGACUGGAAUGAAGAUCCCAUGUCGGCUACAGAACCGGAGGAGGAAAAUGGAAAACGUGAGGAGCGGUUGGCAUGGUUGUGAUCAUUUCAUAAAGGUGCUCAUUAAGCAUCCAUGCUUCCCAGACAGCUGAUGAACAGAGGCCUCUCUGAGAAGGAAAACUGGACAGGGCCCAGGAGAGAGAAUUAGCAUUUUAAUAACAACCAGAGUCCAGACUUGCUGACUAGGGUUUAUUACAAGGUGAGCUUGUCUCCAACACAGCCAAUCAGACUUUGGGCUCGGUGGACACAUGGGGGAGAUACAUCGAUUUUCCCUUCUCUGCUCCAGAUCAAACUGGGAAGGGAAGCUCUGAGGUGACAUCAGCAGGCCAGUCACCAUGGCGCCCAGAAAGGACAUUAU